ACGUGGGAGGGAGGCUCGGAGCUCAGGAAGCAUGGCACUCUGGCGGGCAUACCAGCGGGCCCUGGCUGCUCACCCGUGGAAAGUACAGGUCCUGACAGCUGGUGAGUGUCCCUCUAGGACUUGAGUGGGACCAGGGCAGACUGAUUUGGAAGCCAGAGGCUUGCCCCACUGCACCACCCUCACUUCCUGUUUCUAUUCAGCUCUCUUGAAGGGUUGGCUGUCUUUCAUCCUACACUGUCCCCAGUCUGUUUUGGAGGGUGGUCCCCAAGGCUGUUUUUAAGGGGUAUGCGUAGUUGGCCAAGCUGUGCAGUAGGGUUUUAGGAUUUCAAAGUCCUCAAAAAGCUGAACAGUCAGCCCUGAAGGAUAAAGGCAUUGCCCCAGGAGGCCUCAACUUGGAAAACAUUUUACCGUAUGCAAAGCACUUUCAUAUACGUUAUGGCAUAGGGCCCCCACAAAGGUGUGUGAGCUAGGAGGGUUACUUGAGUCCACAUUAGAUCACACCUAAUAAGUGCUGAAUCAAGACUCUUACCCCAGUUUUUCUUGGUAUUUUUUAUUGUGAAACAUACAAAAGAAUGAUUAAGAUGUGUAUG
rnacentral:sRNA from 1 species